GUAUGACCACAAAACAUACGUACGUAUGAAAAACAUCACUUAAAGCCACUACAAGGUACACAAUUCUGUAAUGCAUUUCCAAGCUAAUCGCCUUAGUUUUAAAGACUAAAAUCGAAUUUAUAAUUGAGGCUAACUUGACGUGCGGGGCUGUUAUCAAAUCUCAGUUUGCAUUUUGACCCCAAGUAGAUACUAGAUUUCUUUUUCAAACCGUUUGUGCAGAGGUCUAUAUAUUGUAUAUACAAGUAUUAAAUAAAUCAUAAUUAUUUAUAUCAUAUCAGCCGCAAGACGUCCGCUGCCGACGGAGAGAGAGAAUAUCUCGGAAAGCAAAUAGUCAUGAAGGUUUUUCUAUUGUUGUUAUUCUUCGUUGCUAUAGUAACAACCACCAUGAGCCAUCCACGGAUGUGGAGAUCGUGGGGAAAACUACCAGUUGCACCAGCCGCAUCAGGAUAUACUACAGUACCGUCCGCAGACAGAUUCAUGCCAGCAUCAUCAAUCUACAGAUCUUACAACCGAGUAGUACGUAGUAGAUAAAAUUACGAAGCAAUAUAUGGUGAAACCAGCAGCCGCAAUUCUUUAUACAAAUUUCUGAAUUUUUUUGUUACAAUUAUACUAUCUACACUAGCUACUUUCACCCGCUCUGCUUGGCCCCUAUUGGUCAUAGCGUGAUGUUUUAUAGUGUCGGCGCAUCACAUACGCCUGUAGACGACACGGGCGGACGACACCGGGGAAGCGCGGGGUCGCGGUACUUAACGCGGCAGCGCUCGCGCCACGGCGCGGCCACUAAGCUCUCAGUCGCGUUAGACUUCGGGCAUUUCAUAGUUCCAAUACUAAAUAUUUGUAAUUACGGAAUUAAACCUAUUUUAUACAGUC